rnacentral:lncRNA from 1 species
UAAUAAAAUAAAAAUAAAUUUUAUUUUCGGAUUGGAUUUGUGGUCUCGAAACCACUGUUUCGAUUUUCACUGAAAAAUGGGCUGUUACAGAAAAUCCCACUAUCACCCUUGAAACUCGAGAAUAAACUUGCCUAAAAAUUUGAAGUCUAAUCAUCAACAAUACCCUAGUUCAAUUCCAACUAGGUCUCAACUAAAUCAACAAUACCC